rnacentral:rRNA from 1 species
CUAAGGCUCCAGAGGAAGCCACGGCUAGCUCUGUGCCAGCAGCCGCGGUAAUACAGAGGCGGCAUGCGUUGUUCGGAAUUAUUGGGCGUAAAGGGCACGUAGGCGGCCUUGCAAGUCAGUUGUGAAAGCCUUCCGCUUAACGGAAGAAUGCCAGCUGAUACUACAGGGCUUGAGUACGGGAGGGGAGAGUGGAACUUCUGGUGGAGCGGUGAAAUGCGUAGAUAUCAGAAGGAACGCCGGCGGCGAAAGCGACUCUCUGGCCCGAAACUGACGCUGAGUGUGCGAAAGCUAGGGGAGCAAACGGGAUUAGAUACCCCGGUAGUCCUAGCCGUAAA